UACGUAGGUGGCAAGCGUUGUCCGGAAUUACUGGGUGUAAAGGGAGCGUAGGCGGGAAGACAAGUUGAAUGUUUAAACUAUCGGCUCAACCGAUAAUCGCGUUCAAAACUGUUUUUCUUGAGUGAAGUAGAGGCAGGCGGAAUUCCUAGUGUAGCGGUGAAAUGCGUAGAUAUUAGGAGGAACACCAGUGGCGAAGGCGGCCUGCUGGGCUUUAACUGACGCUGAGGCUCGAAAGCGUGGGUAGCAAACAG
rnacentral:rRNA from 1 species